CAUUGGGGGGCGCUAGUAUAAAUAGUGGCCAUUUGAGUGUCCCUGGAUCGCUUACCUGUGAUCUCCUUUUUGGUCACCUGACUUCCCUUUGGUGUUGCUGAGAUUAUUUGCGGGUUACACUUCUGAAGCCUCCAUCGCGGCUGGUCGUAGCUGUAGAAGCCUCCUCUGAGCCAUUCUGCUCAUGCUUUAUGACGCGGCUUACUCGGAAGUGUGGGCCUUAGUUUUACGCCACGCUACGCGAACUGAAGUGCUGCUGCUUUGUUUUGCUUUACUUUUACUGUCUGUUCCGGCUGCGAGGUUUCUUUCCUACUGCUGCCAGCCUUUAAAGUGGACGUCGGCGUGGACAACGGCCAUAUGCAUGCCACGCGAGUCGGCUGGCGUGCAUGUUGAUUGACUGACUGGAAGAUUAACUUAUAGUCGGGCAGACGGCCAGUUGGAUUACUACGGCGAUUCCGUCUGCUCCAUAUUUUAAAGUUUUA